UCACCACCUCACUGUAAGUCGCUCUGGAUAAGAGCGUCUGCUAAACAACUAAAA
rfam:Salmo salar isolate Sally breed double haploid chromosome ssa20, whole genome shotgun sequence.